AUAGGGUUAAACUUAAAAACAUAAAAACUCAAAAUCCAUCACCAUUUCCCAAAAUACUAUCAACAGAGGAAGGAGGUAGAGAGAGAGAGAGAGAGAGAGAGAGAUUUGAUUCAGUUACCGGCGGUCUCUAAUUCGCUUGGUGCAGGUCGGGAACUACUUCGCUUCGCUUGUUAAAAAUGGGAGUUUCAUUUAUCACUUAUAUAUAAAUAAAAAUAAAAAUAUAUAGAUAUAGAUAGCCAGGUGGCGUUUUGGGAUUGGUUAUGGGGCGAAUUGGAUCCCGCCUUGCAUCAACUGAAUCGGAGACCGCGGUGAAGAAAGAUGUUUUACAGGUUGCAUGGAUCUCGCCUUUUUCCCUGGCCCAUUCUCAGAUCUCAGGUGCUGAAUGCAUUGGGGUUCCAGACCAUGUUGCUCACUAGUUUUUCUACACAUCUUUCAUAAUUCACCUUGGAAUGUUCAGUUAUGGUUGGUACCCGAAUGAACCUCUCCCAUAUGAGGCUGAAUGAUUCUGGGGAAAUGUUGAUAUGGCUGUUUAGAUGUUAUGCUGGAGGUCAUGAAACCUUUGUCAACCCAUGUGGUACAUUUUGAAUGUUUAGAUCUUAAAAGGGAUCACAUUUUCUAGCAAUUGAUGCAGAGAACAUUGUUUAGGUGGCAGAAUUGCUGAGAUCUUUAGUUUACAUUUCAGAAGGCGUGAUAUGUAUUUCACCAACCUUAGAACUGCUUGCUGAAACUUUUGCAUCAAUUAUAUCACACAAGGCUGAGCUCUGCUUGACCUAGUGAUGUAGGGCCCUUGUGAAGAAUUUCUUGUUUGUUCCUAGCCAGAGAGGAAAACUAGGAACGUGUGGCAUGGGUUAUGCCAAUGGAGAUUCUUUAUGACUUUCUUUUUCCACCACCACCUUCCAAGAAAUUACAAGUGAAAAAAUUAUAAGAGUAUCAAUAAUGCAGAUAUGAUGGGAGUGAAGAUGACUUGAACAUCAAGGAAGCCGAGUAUAUUAUUAUGUAGGAAAUGCUUUGGAGUCAAUGGUUCUUUUGGAUUGUGCAACCAAAGUCUAUGUUCUGCGUUGGAAAUUGUAGGGUUCCUAUACAUAUUAAUUCAAUAUUACAAUUCUACCCUUAACACUUUUCCUCAAGUUAAGGCAUAGUAUAAAGGGGAAAAUGGGCAUUUUCUCCUAAUUUACAAACUAUGCAGCAAAAUGCUAUUGUUUUAAAACUAUUUAGCAAAAUAUCACUGUUUUUUAAACUUGGUUUUAACAAAAUUGAGUUACAA